CAACGUUUCAGUCUGUAUCACAGACUUUCAUCAGGAUGAUGAAAGUCUGUGAUACAGACUGAAACGUU